GGAGCCGCAGCGCUCCCGAGGGCCGUCGAGCAAAGGCGGGAGGCGCAGCCGGGCUGUCGGUGGACCUGUAGGUAUCAGGGCUCCUUGGUCCCCUCCUGCGGGAAGCAGGCACCGAGUGGGGCUGCAUGUAGACGCAUGCGAGGGUGAGAGCUGCGGCGGAGGACGCUGAUGCAUGCGAGGGCCCACUGCUCAGUGGAGCGUGGAGGACGAGGAGGAGGCUGUCCACGAGCAAUGCCAGCAUGAGAGAGACAGGCAGCUUCAGGCGCAGGACGAGGAGGGAGGCGGCCAUGUCCCCGAGCGGCCGAAGCAGGAGAUGCUGUGAGCAGCCCCCUAACGCG
rnacentral:lncRNA from 1 species